rnacentral:rRNA from 1 species
UACGAAGGGGGCUAGCGUUGCUCGGAAUCACUGGGCGUAAAGGGUGCGUAGGCGGGUCUUUAAGUCAGGGGUGAAAUCCUGGAGCUCAACUCCAGAACUGCCUUUGAUACUGAAGAUCUUGAGUUCGGGAAGAGGUGAGUGGAACUGCGAGUGUAGAGGUGAAAUUCGUAGAUAUUCGCAAGAACGCCAGUGGCGAAGGCGGCUCACUGGCCCGAUACUGACGCUGAGGCACGAAAGCGUGGGGAGCAAACAGG